CCUACGGGAGGCAGCAGUGAGGAAUAUUGGUCAAUGGGCGAGAGCCUGAACCAGCCAAGUCGCGUGAGUGAGUACUGCCCUAUGGGUUGUAAACCUCUUUUGUCGGGGAGCAAAAGCCGGACGUGUCCGGCUGUGAGAGUACCCGAAGAAAAAGCAUCGGCUAACUCCGUGCCAGCAGCAGCGGUAAUACGGAGGAUGCGAGCGUUAUCCGGAUUUAUUGGGUUUAAAGGGUGCGCAGGCGGAUUUUUACGUCAGCGGUCAAAUCGUGGGGCUCAACCCCAUCCAGCCGUUGAAACUGGUGAGCUAGAGUGUGCGAGAGGUAUGUGGAAUGCGUGGUGUAGCGGUGAAAUGCAUAGAUAUCACGCAGAACCCCGAUUGCGAAGGCAGCAUACCGGUGCACAACUGACGCUCAGGCACGAAAGCGUGGGUAUCGAACAGGAUUAGAUACCCCUGUAGUC
rnacentral:rRNA from 1 species